CAACUGUCCAAAUUGAAAUAAUUGAAUCAAAUUAAAUUACAACUUCUACGUUCAAAGGUUAAGCCGUGGGGAAAAAAAUUACUUUUCUACUAAACAUUCAGUACAACAAAUACAAGCGAAGCAUCUGAUUGGAAAUUGGUUAGAGAUGGCCUCGUCCCACGCGCCUAACAACAAAAUGGAAAAUGGGAAAAAUUUAAUGAACAGAGCAUUGAUACAUAUUAAAAUGAACCACAUGUAACUGCAAUAUAUAUCUACAUACCUAUUACACUUCUACAAAAGCUACUAUGACAUGGAUGUGAGCUUGAGAAACGCUCUCCACCUGGAGUGGGAGGAGAGCUAGCUCCCAUCCACAAGAAUGCAUGAAUAAUCAAAUUGGGUAUCAAACUUUUUAUCUAAUAUCUAUAGGAUGAGCCUGAUGGUGGUGGUGCUGGUGGCAUCCGAGUGGGUGUGCGGCGACUGUUGUUUGUGCCUGAGCUUGCAUCACCAUUUUGAGGUGGAUCACUGUUUCGUCGACUGUGAGACCUAAAUGGUUCAGCACGACCAUUAGCUGCAGCGUCAAAUGCAGUCCUCCAAUCCUCCCCUCCGGCAGAUCCGCUUGUUCUUGGACUACUUUCUGCUCCACCACCAUCAUUGGCCCAGCUGGACGCAGCUGCUGCUCGAUUAUCAUGGAUGCUAAGUUGCCGUACAAGUUUUGAAAGAAGAGAGGACUGCUUCUGAUAACGUUCUCUCUUACGUUUUACAUUCUGGUCCUCCUGGAGCAGUUCUUCAAUCCUUGCGGUGCUUUGUGCACUAAUGGAACUAUAAAGCUGAUUAAGCAUGUCUUCCCUCGCUUUCUCGACUUGACAAAGGACAACUGCUUUGGGGACAUUGGCAGCAAGGCUGUUAAGAACAGCUUCAACAUAACCACGCACUUCU
rnacentral:misc_RNA from 1 species